rnacentral:rRNA from 1 species
GAUGAACGCUGGCGGCGUGCCUAAUACAUGCAAGUCGAGCGAACGGACGAGAAGCUUGCUUCUCUGAUGUUAGCGGCGGACGGGUGAGUAACACGUGGAUAACCUACCUAUAAGACUGGGAUAACUUCGGGAAACCGGAGCUAAUACCGGAUAAUAUUUUGAACCGCAUGGUUCAAAAGUGAAAGACGGUCUUGCUGUCACUUAUAGAUGGAUCCGCGCUGCAUUAGCUAGUUGGUAAGGUAACGGCUUACCAAGGCAACGAUGCAUAGCCGACCUGAGAGGUGGACCGGCCAACCGGAACAUGGGAAACGGCCCAAACCCCAAGGGGAGGCAGCGGGGGGAAAUCUUCACAAAGGGGCGAAAGCCUAAGGGGGCAACGCGGGGGGGGUGAUAAAGUUUUUCGGAUCGUAAAACCUUUUUAUUGGGAAAAAAAAAAUUUGUAAAUAACGGUGCCCAUCUGGACGGAACCAAAGCAAAAGACCACGGCAAACUACGU